CCGUAGGGUGACCUGCGGAGGGAUCAUUACACAAAUAUGAAGGCGGGCUGGAACCUCUCGGGGUUACAGCCUUGCUGAAUUAUUCACCCUUGUCUUUUGCGUACUUCUUGUUUCCUUGGUGGGUUCGCCCACCACUAGGACAAACAUAAACCUUUUGUAAUUGCAAUCAGCGUCAGUAACAAAUUAAUAAUUACAACUUUCAACAACGGAUCUCUUGGUUCUGGCAUCGAUGAAGAACGCAGCGAAAUGCGAUAAGUAGUGUGAAUUGCAGAAUUCAGUGAAUCAUCGAAUCUUUGAACGCACAUUGCGCCCUUUGGUAUUCCAAAGGGCAUGCCUGUUCGAGCGUCAUUUGUACCCUCAAGCUUUGCUUGGUGUUGGGCGUCUUGUCUCUAGCUUUGCUGGAGACUCGCCUUAAAGUAAUUGGCAGCCGGCCUACUGGUUUCGGAGCGCAGCACAAGUCGCACUCUCUAUCAGCAAAGGUCUAGCAUCCAUUAAGCCUUUUUUUCAACUUUGACCUCGGAUCAGGUAGGAAUCC
rnacentral:rRNA from 1 species